CAUUGUUUUUCUAUGAAAGCUUAGCUACUUGUUGAUUUGAAGGAGAAUUUUUGGGGGUAAUACUGCACACAACUGCUGGAAACAUCUUUACUUAGCAACUGCAUCAGUUCCUUUGGUUGCUGUUACCCUUUCAGCACCACAGCGGUUACAUACCUUCUGCUUUUUGCAGUGCACCUUGACCAAGCCAGCUCACACACUAACACAGAGUUUUGGCUCAGGAGAAAAGGGCAAUGCCUUUAUCAGGACCCUGAGUGCCCUAAUGGGACUUAACAGCCUCUACAAGCCUCACCUGGGAUCUCCACCCUUUGCCUAUUGCUUAGGAGCCAUUUUUAAAGCUCAGGCUGCAAUAAGCAAUCUUGACUGUCCCUGGAUAAUUCCUUCCCUUUUUUUCUCCAUGAAGUUGUCAAAUACUAUCAACAUAGAGCACUUGCAAUUCCUACACCAAGAAGGAAAGGUGAAGAAAAUCAUUUAAUCAGCUACAGGUCAAAAAAAAAAAAAACCAACACAACCCAAACCAGGCAGAACUUCCUCAAGCAGCUGGACUUUCUACUUCUCCCUUUCUGAUUUUGAGACCAGUCAGGCUCCUGAAGUGGUAAGAAACUGAAGUCUGAAGCAAGCAAAUGCUGUUCAGCUGCAAACCACUUCAGAGAUGAUUAAGUUCAACAGCAUGUGUGGGUCACCAGAACAAGGGUAUGUACUAGGAGACAAUUUAGUCAUCUAUGGCUGAUAAUCAUAGUGAUAUUUUGAGUAUGCAAUGCUCGUUUUCUUUAAAGUGCAAAGAGGACUGUGAAAUUGACGUGUCUAAUGUUUAGCCAUUUAGGGUUGACAGCUAAUUCACUAAAAAAGACAUAAAAUUCCAUACAUUUUUCUAUUCUUAUGUAAGUGAUCUGACAAAUUUUCCAGAUGCUUCUAAAAGAAAUGAGGCCAACUCUUUUACUCCACAAACAGGGCUUUGUGUAGUCACAGUGCAGUGGUUACAAGAAGGCAAAAUAUGCCUUUGGAGUUCUUUUUCCAGUGAUUACUAUUAGACUGUCUAUCAAACAGCAAAAAUCACAGAAUCAUUAGCGUCGGAAGGGACCUCUGGAGAUUAUCUAGUCCAACCCCCCUGCCAAGUCAAGGCCACCUAGAGCAGGUUACACAGGAUCGUGUUGAGACUGGUUUGGAAUGUCUCCAGAAAGGAACACUCUAUAACCUCCCUGUGCAGCCUGUUCCAGGGUUCUGCCACGUUCAAUGUAAAGCAGUUCCUCCUCAUGUUGAGGUGAAACUUCUUUUAUUUCAGUUUAUGGC